rnacentral:lncRNA from 10 species
GGCAACCCCAGCCUGGAGGUGCCGGGGCCGGAGCUCCCAGAGGGCUGGGUGCGAGGCCUAGGCGGGGUCAGGUUCGGGUUCCUAGGCCAUAGCGGAGCUGCAGCCCAGGCGGCCGGAGCGGAACCCAGCCCCGCUCCGAGUGCCACGUCUCCAGGAACCCCCUCCUUACUCUUGGACAACACUCCGCCCCCGCCCGGGCCUCCGUCCCCCAAACCGCCCUCAUUUGUGCAGCGCCAGAUCCUUCGGACACAUCCCUAGGUGUCUCCAUCCUCAUUCGGUCCAUCCAACUCCCAGACCUCACGUCAACCGGCUGCACCCCACUUUCCAGCCUGCGCCCCAGAUCUGCAGCCUUCGCCCCUAGAUACACCCGCCUGGUGAUGAGGCGCUCCUCGCGUUCCUUCCGUCUCCAGUGCACCGGCUUUCCCUCGUCCUCUGCGCAGUCCAUCUCAGCUCAUCUCUCCAAUUCAAUGCCAUCAUCUCUCCUCACCAUCUCUCGGUGCCCUGGAAUGUUUGCUGUCAGAUGUCCCCUGUGAAACCCACAAACGCUUGCGAUUUGGCCUCCUUGUUUUAUUUUGUGUAGUCCUACAACGUCUUGUUACUACCCCCUAUUACAACACUUAUAACUCAGUAUUUGUCUUUUUUCCGCGGUGUCCCUGCACUCUCCCCAUACAUAUUCCUCUCCUGCCAGAUUGUAAGCCUCUAGAGGGAAGAAGUAAUGUCUCUCUCCUUGGC